GUACACUCCUACGGGAGGCAGCAGUGGGGAAUAUUGGACAAUGGGCGCAAGCCUGAUCCAGCCAUGCCGCGUGAGUGAUGAAGGCCCUAGGGUUGUAAAGCUCUUUCACCGGUGAAGAUAAUGACGGUAACCGGAGAAGAAGCCCCGGCUAACUUCGUGCCAGCAGCCGCGGUAAUACGAAGGGGGCUAGCGUUGUUCGGAUUUACUGGGCGUAAAGCGCACGUAGGCGGACUAUUAAGUCAGGGGUGAAAUCCCGGGGCUCAACCCCGGAACUGCCUUUGAUACUGGUAGUCUGGAGUUCGAGAGAGGUGAGUGGAAUUCCGAGUGUAGAGGUGAAAUUCGUAGAUAUUCGGAGGAACACCAGUGGCGAAGGCGGCUCACUGGCUCGAUACUGACGCUGAGGUGCGAAAGCGUGGGGAGCAAACAGGAUGAGAAACCCCGGUAGUCCCAUGAU
rnacentral:rRNA from 1 species